AAUGCGAUAAGUAGUGUGAAUUGCAGAAUUCAGUGAAUCAUCGAAUCUUUGAACGCACAUUGCGCCCCUUGGUAUUCCAUGGGGCAUGCCUGUUCGAGCGUCAUUUGUACCUUCAAGCUUUGCUUGGUGUUGGGUGUUUGUCUCGCCUCCGCGCGUAGACUCGCCUCAAAACAAUUGGCAGCCGGCGUAUUGUUUUCGGAGCGCAGUACAUCUCGCGCUUUGCACUCAUAACGACGACGUCCAAAAGUACAUUUUUACACUCUUGACCUCGGAUCAGGUAGGGAUACCCGCUGAACUUAAGC
rnacentral:misc_RNA from 1 species